AAUGUCCAGCGGGCUCCUGGGCUCACAUUAGACAUGUCCCUUCACGUACGAGAGUCGCCAGCACACCCGUAAAUAACUGUGACACGAUCAGGAAGCAGACUUCGCUUCCAGCAGCCAGAGCCGCCGCCAGUCCUGAGCCUGAGCUCCGUGAAGGGUUCCUUGCGCCCAGAAGUCAGACUCUUACGGGGAAGGUGAGCUGGGCGAGGAGGCCUUGGCGUUUCCUGCAAAGUCAGGCUGAUAAGGAGCUACAUUCCUACAGAUUCGCCUGGCGUGAACACAACCACGGGCAUGUUUUCACUCUACCACCUCUGUGUUUCUGAAAACCUUUGUCAUUUAUGUGACAGUAUUAUCACACAUUUUAUACAGAUGGCUAAACUGAGGCCGGGAGCAGGAAAGAUGUUGGCAGAGAGACACCUAAGGAGCUGGGAUUAGAAUUCUCCUCCUUGUCGCCCACCAGCUGCCAGGCA